rnacentral:rRNA from 1 species
AUUGAACGCUGGCGGCAGGCUUAACACAUGCAAGUCGAGCGGAGAUGAGGUGCUUGCACCUUAUCUUAGCGGCGGACGGGUGAGUAAUGCUUAGGAAUCUGCCUAUUAGUGGGGGACAACAUUCCGAAAGGAAUGCUAAUACCGCAUACGCCCUACGGGGGAAAGCAGGGGAUCUUCGGACCUUGCGCUAAUAGAUGAGCCUAAGUCGGAUUAGCUAGUUGGUGGGGUAAAGGCCUACCAAGGCGACGAUCGGUAGCGGGUCUGAGAGGAUGAUCCGCCACACUGGGACUGAGACACGGCCCAGACUCCUACGGGAGGGAGCAGUGGGGAAUAUUGGACAAUGGGCGGAAGCCUGAUCCAGCCAUGCCGCGUGUGUGAAGAAGGCCUUUUGGUUGUAAAGCACUUUAAGCGAGGAGGAGGCUACCUGGAUUAAUACUCUAGGAUAGUGGACGUUACUCGCAGAAUAAGCACCGGCUAACUCUGUGCCAGCAGCCGCCGCCGUAA